UCUCCAGCCUGACAGAGUUACCACAGUUAGGAUAGUGGUUCUCCCAGGAUUAUACACAUUUCUUGCACUUUGAGUAUGCCUACCAUUUGCUCAAAUGCAGGAAAGUUGACUGCAUAAUUUGUGUUAGUGAUAGGCUUUGACCAUGCUAUCU
ensembl:snRNA U1 U1 spliceosomal RNA